UGCCCUCCAGGUCAUAUGUAUGCCCUGUUGUUGAAUGUACACUGUGUAUCCCAAGGCACUGAAGAGCUGGAAAAAUGAUCAUAUGUCAAUCUGGAUGAUUGAAAGGUUAACUGUUUCCAAAUGAAUGUCUUGCCUUAAACCUUCUGUUUCCUAAAAUGUUGGCAAUGUGAUAUUUUAGGCUUAUUUUCUUAAGAAAAAAAAUAGUGAGAGGGAAGAUGAGAUGAAGAAAGCACUGUGUGGUCCAGAGCCAGGACCAGAGGCUUCCCCCUUUCGUGCCCAAGAUCAGUGUGACUGUGUGGGACACAGAAAGACUAAUAAGGUGGUAAUACUGUGGACUUUAUGAAGAAAUUUCUCAAGCAUAAAUUACAUAGAAUUAGAAGAGAUUAUGAGUAACAGUGGUAGAUUAUUUGAAGAUUUUGAAAGAGAUCUCCAGUGAUUAAGGUUAUUAUAUGGUUCAUUGGUUUCUUGUCCUUGUCAUUUUCAUUGCUAUUUGGGAAAGAUUUAGGGGGGAAAAACUUAGUUGCUGAGCCUAAAUGACAUUUUUAAAAAUUAAUAAAUUAGUUUCUACAUUCUUUAA